GUCUUUUUGAAAUAAUUUAAAGUCUAAUCUGCCCACUGAUAAAAAUUAAAGGGCUGCAGUAUAAUGACUGUACAAAGGUAGCAUAAUCAAUAGUUUUUUAAUUGAAAACUUGUAUGAAAGAUUUGAUGAAAUAUGGACUGUCUCUAAUUUAUAAAUUGAAUUUUAUUUUUUAGUAAAAAAGCUAAAAUAAAUUUAAAAGACGAGAAGACCCUAUAGAGUUUUAUAUUUAAUUUUAUUUUAAAAUUAUAUAAAAAUUAAUAUUAAAAAUAAAAUUAAAUAUUAUAUUGGGGUGAUAGAAAAAUUAAAUUAACUUUUUUUAAAAAUUAAACAUAAAUAAAUGAUUAUAUGAUCCAUAGAUAAUGAUUAUAAGAAAAAAUUACCUUAGGGAUAACAGCGUAAUAUUUUUUUUUAGUUCAAAUAAAAAAAAAAGUUUGCGACCUCGAUGUUGGAUUAAGAUAAAAUUUAAAUGCAAAAGUUUAAAAUUUUGAUCUGUUCGAUCAUUAAAAUCUUACA
rnacentral:rRNA from 1 species